AGUGAACGCUGGCGGUAGGCCUAACACAUGCAAGUCGAACGGCAGCACAGUAAGAGCUUGCUCUUACGGGUGGCGAGUGGCGGACGGGUGAGGAAUACAUCGGAAUCUACUUUUUCGUGGGGGAUAACGUAGGGAAACUUACGCUAAUACCGCAUACGACCUACGGGUGAAAGCAGGGGAUCUUCGGACCUUGCGCGAUUGAAUGAGCCGAUGUCGGAUUAGCUAGUUGGCGGGGUAAAGGCCCACCAAGGCGACGAUCCGUAGCUGGUCUGAGAGGAUGACCAGCCACACUGGAACGGACACGCGGUCCAACCUCCUGGGGGAGGAAGAAGGGGGGAUUUCGGGACAAGGGGGGAAAGCCUGGUCCAGCCAUGCCGGGUGGGUGAAGAAGGCCGUGGGGUUUAAAACCCUUUUUUGGGGAAAAAAAAAGCAGCUGGUAAAUACCCCGCUGUUCAGGGGGUCCCAAAAGAAAAACCCCCGGCAAACUUCG
rnacentral:rRNA from 1 species